rnacentral:rRNA from 1 species
GUUGUAUGGUUAAGUGACUAAGCGUACACGGUGGAUGCCUUGGCAGUCAGAGGCGAUGAAAGACGUAGUAACUUGCGAUAAGCCCAGAUUAGGUAGUAACAACCAUUUGAGUCUGGGAUUUCUGAAUGGGGAAACCCACGUGCAUAAGCACGUAUCCUUACCUGAAUACAUAGGGUAAGGAGGCGAACCGGGGGAACUGAAACAUCUAAGUACCCCGAGGAAAAGAAAUCAACCGAGAUUCCGAAAGUAGCGGCGAGCGAAAUUGGACUAGCCCUUAAGCUUUACACGCGUUAGACGAACGGUCUGGAAAGUCCGACGAUACAGGGUGAUAGUCCCGUAGUUGACGACGUGUGUUCAGUGAAAUCGAGUAGGGCGGGACACGUGAUAUCCUGUCUGAAUAUGGGGGGACCAUCCUCCAAGGCUAAAUACUACUGACUGACCGAUAGUGAACCAGUACCGUGAGGGAAAGGCGAAAAGAACCCCUGUGAGGGGAGUGAAAUAGAACCUGAAACCGUGUACGUACAAGCAGUAGGAGCAGGCUUUGUCCUGUGACUGCGUACCUUUUGUAUAAUGGGUCAGCGACUUAUAUUCAGUGGCAAGGUUAACCAUCUAGGGGAGCCGUAGGGAAACCGAGUCUUAACUGGGCGUUCAGUCUCUGGAUAUAGACCCGAAACCAGGUGAUCUAGCCAUGGGCAGGUUGAAGGUUGAGUAACAUCAACUGGAGGACCGAACCGACUAAUGUUGAAAAAUUAGCGGAUGACUUGUGGCUAGGGGUGAAAGGCCAAUCAAACCUGGAGAUAGCUGGUUCUCCCCGAAAGCUAUUUAGGUAGCGCCUCGGACGAAUACUACUGGGGGUAGAGCACUGUUAAGGCUAGGGGGUCAUCCCGACUUACCAACCCUUUGCAAACUCCGAAUACCAGUAAGUACUAUCCGGGAGACACACGGCGGGUGCUAACGUCCGUCGUGGAGAGGGAAACAACCCAGACCGCCAGCUAAGGUCCCAAAUUACUACUAAGUGGGAAACGAUGUGGGAAGGCUCAGACAGCCAGGAUGUUGGCUUAGAAGCAGCCAUCAUUUAAAGAAAGCGUAAUAGCUCACUGGUCGAGUCGGCCUGCGCGGAAGAUGUAACGGGGCUAAGUAGUAAACCGAAGCUGCGGCAAUGUGCUUUUGCACAUUGGGUAGGGGAGCGUUCUGUAAGCGGUUGAAGGUGUGUGGUAACGCAUGCUGGACGUAUCAGAAGUGCGAAUGCUGACAUGAGUAACGAUAAAGGGGGUGAAAAACCUCCUCGCCGGAAGACCAAGGGUUCCUGUCCAACGUUAAUCGGGGCAGGGUAAGUCGACCCCUAAGGCGAGGCCGAAAGGCGUAGUCGAUGGGAAACGGGUUAAUAUUCCCGUACUUCUUACAAUUGCGAUGGGGGGACGGAGAAGGCUAGGUGGGCCUGGCGACGGUUGUCCAGGUUCAAGUGCGUAGGCUUAAGAGUUAGGUAAAUCCGGCUCUUUUUAA